UCGACAUCAAGAGAUUUCGGAAGCACAAUUUUUGUGGGGAGGGAGGCCGGUAACCGCCCGUUCCGGCGCCCCG
rnacentral:snRNA from 1 species